GUGUGUUAGCCGAAGCGAUGGAGUCGAAGAAACCAAAGAUUGCUUCAAGAAAUCUUCACAUCGGAUCUACAGCAGUGCCAAACUUUCAGAGGGAACUUUAAUGACGUCGGCCAGAUUCCUUGGAAAAGGAAGCUAGUCACAUUUGGCUCUAUUCCACCUGCCUUUGGUGUUAAUAAAAAUCCUUGACAUGCUGCAAAGCCAGUCGGCAUUCCUGCGGACGCAACGGAACGCUUUUGCCCAAAGAAUACAGGGGACCCCCCAACAUCCCAGGAGCUGUCCUUGCUAUCGACACCACCCAGACGCAUCAAGAAAGAAGACACGUUCAGCAAAUGCAGGAAGCACUCCUGAGCUUGAGAGGAGACCGUACAAGAAGAUGUUGACCAUUGACCAUAUCAGACAGACAUGCAGUGAGGAACAUUCGGAGCCAACGUUUGUGUCGUCCACACUCACUGACCAAUAUCUCUGAAGGGAGCCCUGACAUGAGUGUGUUUUACUGCUGCCUUGCAUUGUGUGGCAUGAUGGGAGUGACCAUUGGGAGUGGUAGCAAUCUCUUUUUCAUGGAGUUCGAUGUGGAUCUUUCAGCUUUGCAGCAGGCGAUGGGGAAUGAAGGUGACAUGAAAUUGUAUUGUCCUGAUUCCUACUAUGUCAAAACUUGCCAGAGAGAGGCAAUAGAGUGUUUCAGAGAGGAACUAAACGUCUUGGAUUUUGAAUAUGAUGGAACUUUGAAGCAGGACGUCUCUGACAUCAUAGUCAGGUUAAAACGAGCUUUUGAUUUCCAACUUUCCCAUCUGAACGUUUCCAAAAGCUGCCAACACUGUGAGCAAUUUGAAGAGAAACCUGUGACAGAGUUUCUAAAAGGUAUGAAGAACCUUAUGCAGUUUCACAACAAAAGAUUAUUGACGUCACCACAGUGAAUGACAUUCCGAAGAUACCUCGCCAGCCGGAAAGGACUGUGGGAUAUGGUGAAAGGCACUGUGGAAAUGGAACUCCUUUUUGCCCACGUUAUCUCUGAAUGGAUUUAUGGAUGAUGGGCUUCCUGAAGACAAUGGAGGGAAAGAACAUUCUGGAAAGGAGAUGCUGUUGUUGCUGACAGCAGGUCUGGCAUGUGAAUAUUGACCUUUUGUCUGGACAGCAAUUAACAACAUUGACAGAGACCCGCGCAGAUUCUCACCAACCUGACUGCUGUGGAAUGAGCUUGUCCCUUCUCAUGGAGAAAUCAGAGUGCUGUUUUUUUUGCGAGAAACAUCAGGCCUCCAGAAAACUAGCAGUUGACAUCCUGCCACAGUGUCAAGGUGGAGUUCCUGCUGCAGCUUUCCAGAGAUCGGGAAUGGUGUCCCAUUACCCUUCCCACCAUGAUCCAAGGUGAUGGGAAGUGAGAUGGGUUCAGCCAAUGGAAAAUCAGGAGGGUGCUCCAGGCAAUGUCUCCAUCGCGGGUCAGACCAAACCACAUCUAGGAUCAGCUGGAAUCUUCCUGCCAUCCCUAGAGGGUCAGCAGGAAGUCUCUUAGCCAUUGUUGUACCUGGUUAGUGAGAAUCCUGUUCUCUGAUUGGAUGAUAGUUUUCAGCAGCUGGGCCUCUGAAUGGCUGCCAGUUUAUGACAGCUAGAUCGAUGAUUGAUUGGUUCAUGUUCAAUGGGUAGCUUUCUGAUUUGCUGACAGUGUUUAGCAGGUGGAUCUCUGAUUUGGAUGACAAUUUUCAUCAGGUAGAUCUCUGGCCAACAGUUUUAGAUGGGUGGAUAGAUCUCUGGCUGAUAGCGUUUGGUGGGUAGUGUUCAGGUAGAUCUCUGAUUGGAUGAUAGUGUUUGGCAGCUGGCUUUCAGAUUGGAUGACAGUUUUCAGCAGGUGGGUAUUCUGCCCUCUGUCUUUAUGCUGAGGGUGCCCACCUCUGUCCAGUUAGACAUCUGACUGGCACUUGAUUGGCUGGUCUAUCCCUGGAAGAGAUGAUAUGGGCUGCCAUUGGUUCUGGAGCCAAUAGGCAAGGCUAGCCUUUACCUCCCCCAUUUGAAUUUAUCCCAAAACCUCCUAAAAGGAUAAACUCUUGUAGGUGGAAAGAAACUGGGAGUGGGACUUGCUGGAGGAAUAGCACAGGUUCAAUGGGUGAAUGGACUCCGUCCUGCACUGUCAGGGAGAAUCAUACAUUUUAAUCUGUGUGAGAACUCAACCUCUCUCCUGAAUGCUGCCUAAACUCUUCAAUAGGGGGACCCAUGUAGUGUGUCAAAGGUCACAGAUGACACUGAAGUGAGUGGUAGAGCACAGUGUGUAGAAGACAGGAAGUCUGCAGAGGGAUAGAAAUGGGUUCAGUGAGUGGGCAGGGGUCUGGCAGAUGACAUACAAUGUGGGUAAAUGUGAGGUCGCCCUCUUGGUUGGAAUAACAGCAAAAUGGCUGAUUUAUUUGAAUGGUGCAAGAUGCUGGGCAGAGGGACCUGGGUGACCUUGUGCAUGAAUCACACAAGGUCGGUUUGCAGGUGCAGCAGAUAAUUAACAAGGCAACUGGAACAUUCUCCUUCACUGCUAGAGGGGUGGAGUUUAAACGCAGGGAGGUUAUGCUGCAGCUGUAUAGGUGGAAGGGAGGACUCCAGAUGCUGGACAUUAGAGCCGAAGAGAGUGGUGCUGGAAAAGCACAGCAGGUCAGGCAGCAUCCGAGAAGCAGGAAAAUCGACAUUUCAGGCAAAAGCCUUUCAUCAGCUUCCGGCUCCUCCGGAUGCUGCUGACCACACUCUCGACUCCAGCUGUACAGGGGGUUGGUGAGGCCACACCUGGAGUACUGUGUGCAGAUUUGGUCUUCUUACUUGAGGAAGGAUGUACCGCCCCUGGAGGGGCUGCAGAGGAGGUACACCAGGUUGGUCCUGGAGUUGAGGGGGUUGGCUUAUGAGGAGAGACUGAGUAGACUGGGAUUAUGUUCAUUGCAAUUCAGAAGAAUGAGGGGGAAUCUUCUAGAAACAUAAUUAUGCAGUGCGUUUCCACUGGCAGGGGCAUUGCCUCAAAAUAAGGGGGAGCGGGCUUCGGACGGAGCUGAGGAGGAACCUCUUCACCCAGAGGGUUGUGAAUCUGUGGAAUUCCCCGCCCAGGGAAGCAGCUGAGGCUCCUCGCUGAAUAUUUUUCUAUUGAGUAGGGGUAGCAGGCUGAAGGGGAUAGAUGUCCUACUCCCAUCCUAGUUCUUUAUAUCUCCUCAACUCCAAACAGUUAAUAAAUCGGUCUUGAAACAGUUUCCCUCUCUCUAGGUAAGAAUAGAAAGUCAAACAGCAGGUUCCCUUCAGCUGCUCACAAGAGGCCAAGUGCUGACUGUACUCAGUGUUGUGUCCAGCGGUGUGUGGUUUCUGUGAACAAUCCUGAUUAUACCAAGAGCUACGUUAACAACUCAUUUAUGAUUGAGUGGAUCUUGUAAUGUGGCUCAUUUUAACGGUUGCUGGAGGCCACUUAGAUACAUAGUCAGGGCCCAGUCCUCUGCAGGCAAAAGGAAUUUGUCCAGGAAGUGUCUUUCCAAUUUAACAAAAGCUUGGUGGACACUCUCUGCCCUGGCACAUUCUCCUAUGACAUGUCUCAACCAAUCACAGAAUCCCUACGGUGUGGGAACGGGCUGUUUACACCAAUGAAUGCACACCAACCCUUUGAAGACUAUCCCACACAGACACUCCCCAUCCCUCUAACCCUACAUUUCCCAUGGCUAACCCACAUAGCCUACACAUCCUAGACACAAUGGGCAAUUUAGCAUAGUCAGUCCCCCAAAUCUCCACUUCUUUGAACUGUGGCAGGAAACUGGAACACACAGGGAGAAUGUGUGGAGUUUGUACAAUCAGUCCCCCCAAUGUGAGGUAACGGUGAUCAGUAAUCAGUGAUCAGUGAUCAGUCUCCCGGUGUGAGGUAACGGUGAUCAGUGAUCAGUAAUCGGUCCCCCGAUGUGAGGUAACGGUGCUAAGCACUGAGCCACUAGGGUUGAUCUGUCUUUUUACACAAAAGGGUUGGGCGACAUUUUCCUGGUGCAUUUUCGGCUGAGGCUUUGUCUUCAAUCGGAAACCACUUGCCAACCGAUGAGUACCCAGUUUCUCAUGCAGUGUAACUUGUUAUUCCCUUUGGGAUUUGGAAUUCUGCUGCAUGUCCUGAUGAAAACCAUUGAUAGUGUCUCUGUUUUUGAAGCAACACUUGUGAACCCAGGAUACUGUUAUUUCACAGCCGAGUGAGAGUUGCAACUCUGAAUUGUUAUGUUUUCUGAUGUGGCUCAGGAUGAUUGGUUGAAUCUGUGAUUGGCCAAAGUCAGUUUAUCAGUCUCUAUGAUCCAGGAAACUCUUGGGGAGUGUACCAGUUGCUGCCGAGUGCACCAAAGCCCACUUUCGAAGGUCAUUGCAUGAGCCACGUCCACAGGCUUCCUGUCACAUGAGAGGAGAUUCAAUGUCAAGCUGUUUAUAAAAGAAACAGAAAAACAUUGAGGUCAUCCAGAUAAUUGAAAACGAGGAUAAAUAUUUUAAAGAUUGAGGCCGUACCUAACGUGGACCUAGUCUGGAUUGACAAACAAGAGGAGGGGGGGGUGAAUUGGUACAGGUUAGGACAUAGGAAAUUGGGAUUUGGACAUCUGUAAUGGGGAAGGCCAUUCUGCCCUUCGAACCUCGUCAAUAAGACCACGGUUGAUCUUUCUGAAGAUCACUUUUCAAUCUCAUCUCCGCAUCCCUCGAUAUCUUUAGGAUCUAGGGAUCAACUGAUUUGAUGGAGCUCUGAUAGAGAAUUACUGAGAUUCAUUAGUCUCUGGGUGAAGACAUUCCUACUCAUUUAAUAACCCUUUAAUCCUGAGAUCAUUCAUUCAUGUGAACAAUUUUGCACAAAUUUGAUAUUCAGGAAUCGGUUUAAUUUGAACAAUUUAAAAUAGUUCUGUGGUCCCAAUAAAGACAUUUCAAAAUCA